CUCUGUCACACGUCGAAGAUCAGCUGUCAUCUCUCUCUCACACCUCGUCUCUUUCUCACACGCCAAAGAUCCGCCGCCGUCUCUCUUUCACACUUCCUCUCUCUCUCACACGUCGUCUCUCUCGCACGCUGACGAUGUCGAAUCCUUCUCCGGUUCAAUUUUCUCAGAUGGAGCAGCUGCAACAUGAAGAAGAAGACGAGCAUGUGAAAGUUGUGGCAAAGUCAAUGAGGAGCAGCUGCAACAUGAAGAAGAAGACGAGCAUGUGAAAGCUGGUGGUGAAGUCAAUGAGGAGCAGCCGCAACAUGAAGAAAACGAGCAUGUGGAAGCUGAUGGCGAAGUCAAUGAGACUAAUUCUAACAAUGUUGAAGUUGAUGCUGAAGUCAAGAAGCACGAGCAAGUUAAAGGAAAAACGAGGAAGAGGGAAAAAUGUAAAUAACUCUAUUUAUAACGACUUAUAAAAUGUAGAUUCUCCAUGGAUCAAAUUUUCUAUAUGAUGAUAAAAUAGGAUCAAGAAGAAGAUGAAGG